AUUGAACGCUGGCGGCAUGCUUUACACAUGCAAGUCGAACGGCAGCGCGGGCUUCGGCCUGGCGGCGAGUGGCGAACGGGUGAGUAAUACAACGGAACGUGCCCAGUAGAGGGGGAUAGCUCGGCGAAAGCCGGAUUAAUACCGCAUACGACCUGAGGGAGAAAGCGGGGGAUCUUCGGACCUCGCGCUAUUGGAGCGGCCGAUGGCAGAUUAGCUAGUUGGUGGGGUAAAGGCCUACCAAGGCGACGAUCUGUAGCUGGUCUGAGAGGACGACCAGCCACACUGAGACUGAGACACGGCCCAGACUCCUACGAGAAGCAGCAGUUGAGAAUUUUGGGCAAUGGGCGAAAGCCUGAUCCAGCAGUGCCGCGUGUGUGAUGAAGGCCUUCGGGUUUUAAAGCACUUUUGGCGAGAACGAAAAGGACUGUGCCAAUACCACGUUUCGAUGGCGGUACCCGCAGAAUAAGCACCGGCUAACUACGUG
rnacentral:rRNA from 1 species